UACGGAGGGUGCAAACGUUGCUCGGAAUCACUGGGCGUAAAGGGUGCGUAGGCGGGUCUUUUAAGUCAGGGGUGAAAUCCUGGAGCUCAACUCCAGAACUGCCUUUGAUACUGAAGAUCUUGAGUUCGGGAGAGGUGAGUGGAACUGCGAGUGUAGAGGUGAAAUUCGUAGAUAUUCGCAAGAACACCAGUGGCGAAGGCGGCUCACUGGCCCGAUACUGACGCUGAGGCACGAAAGCGUGGGGAGCAAACAGGG
rnacentral:rRNA from 1 species